rnacentral:tRNA from 1 species
GGUGGCUUAGUGGUAGAGUGCUUGCCUUACAUGCAUGAGGCCCUGAGUUUGAUUCCUCAGCACCA